rnacentral:rRNA from 1 species
AACGAACGCUGGCGGCAUGCCUAACACAUGCAAGUCGAACGAGACCUUCGGGUCUAGUGGCGCACGGGUGCGUAACGCGUGGGAACCUGCCCUUAGGUUCGGAAUAACUCCCCGAAAGGGGUGCUAAUACCGGAUAAUGUCUUCGGACCAAAGAACUAUCGCCUCUGGAUGGGCGCGCGUUGGAUUAGCUAGUUGGUAGGGUAAAAGCCUACCAAGACGACGAUCCAUAGCUGGUCCGAGAGGAUGAUCAGCCACGCUGGGACUGAGACACGGCCCAGACUCCUAGGGGCUGCAGCGGUAGGGUACAGAAGCCCUUGAGCCACAGUAUGAUGAAGACGUGCCGGGUGAGUAGUAAAGACCGUGGGAUUCUAAGGCUCAUUUACCCGCGGCGCUAAUGACAUAACCGGGUGAAGAAGCCCCGGCUAACUCCGUG